rnacentral:rRNA from 1 species
CCUACGGGUGGCAGCAGUGGGGAAUAUUGGGCAAUGGGCGCAAGCCUGACCCAGCAACGCCGCGUGAAGGAAGAAGGCUUUCGGGUUGUAAACUUCUUUUGUCAGGGACGAAGCAAGUGACGGUACCUGACUAAUAAGCCACGGCUAACUACGUGCCAGCCGCCGCGGUAAUAAGUAGGUGGCAAGCGGUAUCCGGAUUUACUGGGGGUAAAGGGCGUGUUGGCGGGACUGCAAGUCAGAUGGGAAAACCACGGGCUGAAGCUGUGGCCUGCAUUUGACACUGUAGUUCUUGAGUUAUGGAGAGGCAGACGGAAUUCCUAGGGAAGCGGUGAAAUGCGUAGAUAUUAGGAGGAACACCAGUGGCGAAGGCGGUCUGCUGGACAGAAACUGACGCUGAGGCGCGAAAGCGUGGGGAGCAAACAGGAUUAGAUACCCUUGUAGUC